GCCAGCAUGGCGUAGUGGUUUGUGCGCUGGACUAGGACUCUGGAGACCAGGGUUCAAAUACCCUCUCAGCCA